CAUAACUAGCCGGAAAUACGUUGUUGCAAUUGCCGGAAGUUAAAGUCAACUACAA
rfam:Suakwa aphid-borne yellows virus isolate SABYV-TW19, complete genome.